AUUGAACGCUGGCGGCAGGCCUAACACAUGCAAGUCGAGCGGAUGAAGGGAGCUUGCUCCUGGAUUCAGCGGCGGACGGGUGAGUAAUGUCUAGGAAUCUGCCUGGUAGUGGGGGAUAACGUCCGGAAACGGGCGCUAAUACCGCAUACGUCCUGAGGGAGAAAGUGGGGGAUCUUCGGACCUCACGCUAUCAGAUGAGCCUAGGUCGGAUUAGCUAGUUGGUGGGGUAAAGGCCUACCAAGGCGACGAUCCGUAACUGGUCUGAGAGGAUGAUCAGUCAGACUGGAACUGAGACACGGUCCAGACUCCUACGGGAGGCAGCAGUGGGGAAUAUUGGACAAGGGGCGAAAGCCUGAUCCAGCCAUGCCGCGUGUGUGAAGAAGGUCUUCGGAUUGUAAAGCACUGUAAGUUGGGAGGAAGGACAGUAAGUUAAUACCUUGCUGUUUUGACGUUACCAACAGAAUAAGCACCGGCUAACUUCGUG
rnacentral:rRNA from 1 species